CUAAGAAUAUUCCGCAAUGGACGGAAGUCUGACGGAGCGACGCCGCGUGGAUGACGAAGGCCGAAAGGUUGUAAAGUUCUUUUGCUGGGGAAGAAUAACCGCAGGAGGGAAUGCCUGUGGGAUGACAAGAACCGGCGAAUAAGCCCCGGCCAACUACGUGCCAGCAGCCGCGGUAACACGUAGGGGGCGAGCGUUGUUCGGAAUUACUGGGCGUAAAGGGCAUGUAGGCGGCUUGGAAAGCCUGGCGUGAAAGUCUGCAGCUUAACUGCAGGGGUGCGCUGGGAACUGCUGAGCUUGAGUGACGGAGAGGGAGCUGGAAUUCCUGGUGUAGGGGUGAAAUCUGUAGAUAUCAGGAAGAACACCGAUGGCGAAGGCAAGCUCCUGGCCGAUGACUGACGCUGAGGUGCGAAAAGUGUGGGGAUCAAAACAGGAUUAGAUACCCUGGUAGUCCACACAGUCAACGAUGUGCACUAGGUGCUGGGGCGGUAGCUUCGGUGCCGGAGCGAACGUGGUAAGUGCACCGCCUGGGGAGUAUGCUCGCAAGGGUGAAACUCAAAUGAAUUG
rnacentral:rRNA from 1 species